GCUGGGCAUGGUGGCGUGUGCCUGUAAUCCCAGCUACUCAGGAGCUGAGGCAGGAGAAUCGCUUGAACCUGGGAGGCGUUGGUUGCAGUGAGCCGAGAUGGAGCCACUGCAUUCCAGCCUGGGUGACAGAGCGAGACUCCAUCUCAU
ensembl:misc_RNA Metazoa_SRP Metazoan signal recognition particle RNA